rnacentral:lncRNA from 1 species
CUUUUCAUUUCUUCCGCGGAUCAAGUUGAUGGACAGCUAUGGUGGUUCUGAACAAAUUUGAUUGCUACGAUAAUAUAUUGACAUUGACUAGUGUAAGCAGCUCCCAUAGAUAUAGACAAAUUAUAAAAGUUCUUCAAUCCAUGACCUAAGACUUAUGGAAGCUCCCAAAGAUAUAGAUGACCCAAGCUCUGAUACCAACUUCUAAUUUAUCUCUAAGUCCAUGGAAGCAAAUCUUUAUGAAAUCCAACAUUAUCGUUUCCUAUCUUGCUAAUUUUAUCUCAACAAUUUAAACAUAACUUGCAAAUUGCAAGUGAAGAAAAUUCUUUGAAUUGAGAGAUUAAUAGAAAAUUACUAAAGGGCGGACUUUAGCGCAAUAGUAAAAUUGCUCCAUUUGUGAUAUGAAUAUUAUAGAUUUGAAACAUGAAAGCAGCUUUUCUAUAAGGAUAAAACUCAUCGACGGUUCGGAAUAUGGAAAUAAGCUUUAUGACCUUUCUGUAGACAGGUUUUUCAUAUCAAG